AAAGUCGUAACAAGGUUUCCGUAGGUGAACCUGCGGAAGGAUCAUUACAAAACAUGGAAAAAAAAGAUGUUGAAACGUGGGGAAAGAGAGGGAGAUUUUUCUUUUUUCUUUUCUUUCACUAACUAUAUACUAUCCAUGGACGCAUAUGAAUAUACAACCAUUCAAUUACAACACACUUUUAACAAUGGAUCUCUUGGCUCUU
rnacentral:misc_RNA from 1 species